GUCUAUUUUCUUCAAUUAUUUCCGAUUAUUGCAGGUAGAAACUUCAAAUCCACAUUAAUUGCUAUUUUACGUAGCUCGAGUCCCCGCACCUCAUCCAGUCGCCAGCCUCCCUACCCUCCCCUGCGUUCAGCGGCUUUAAAGUCGUGGCAGGAAAAAUAACAAACCUGAGCUAUGACUUGGGCUGCAAAAGCGAAAAGAUAGAGAAAAAUUACAGUGGACGACCCAGUCAAGCAAGUUCCAUAUACGAGAGGGUGGGCAAGCGCAAGGUAGCAGCAGGGGAUGUUAGAGGGCGCAGGAGCGGGGGCCGGAAUGAUAAACUGCAAUCGAAGGACGUUGACUGAAUGAUAAAUUACACUUGACAAUGGCCGUUGGCAAACUCUUUCUUAUUCAAAUUAAGUAGAGCCGGAGCUUUACAAAUUAUGCCAAAAACUUGCAAGUUUCUUGAUAAACCAAAUUAAAAACUACAAAAAAAUAUGUGAACAGGCAACAAGUUUUGAUGAGAUUUUCGGUGACUGAAAGAGAGAUCUUGUAGAGAAAGGAAGAGAGAGGAAGAGAGACAGACUUUUGUAAUAGUUGUAUACAAAUAG